rnacentral:rRNA from 1 species
AUACGGAGGGUGCAAGCGUCAAUCGGAAUUACUGGGCGUAAAGCGCACGCAGGCGGUUUGUUAAGUCAGAUGUGAAAUCCCCGGGCUCAACCUGGGAACUGCAUCUGAUACUGGCAAGCUUGAGUCUCGUAGAGGGGGGUAGAAUUCCAGGUGUAGCGGUGAAAUGCGUAGAGAUCUGGAGGAAUACCGGUGGCGAAGGCGGCCCCCUGGACGAAGACUGCCACUCAGGUGCGAAAGCGUGGGGAGCAAACAGGAUUAGAUCCCCUGGUAGUCCACGCCGUAAACGAUGUCGACUUGGAGGUUGUGCCCUUGAGGCGUGGCUUCCGGAGCUAACGCGUUAAGUCGACCGCCUGGGGAGUACGGCCGCAAGGUUAAAACUCAAAUGAAUUGACGGGG